rnacentral:rRNA from 1 species
UACGAAGGGUGCAAGCGUUACUCGGAAUUACUGGGCGUAAAGGGUGCGUAGGUGGUUUGUUAAGUCUGCUGUGAAAUCCCCGGGCUCAACCUGGGAAUGGCAGUGGAUACUGGCAAGCUAGAGUGCGGUAGAGGGUAGUGGAAUUCCCGGUGUAGCAGUGAAAUGCGUAGAGAUCGGGAGGAACACCAGUGGCGAAGGCGGCUACCUGGACCAGCACUGACACUGAUGCGCGAAAGCGUGGGGAGCAAACGGG